UGGCGACUGCUCCCUCCUCUCCCUGCCUGGGGGCCUCACACUCUUCUCUUCCGUCCCAUUGCUUCCCCUCGUCCCAUGCUGCCUGGGCCUUUGCUUUUUCCGUAGGCCUCUGCCAUUCCUGGAAACUUUCUGGCCUCCGAGCUUCCCCUUUCUUUUUUCCUUCUGCCUUUUCCCUGCUCCCCAGUUCCCUGGGUGCCAGUGUGGAAGACAUCCCUCCCACUGUGCCCACUGUUCCUCAUACCUGUCUCUUAGUCUCUUCAUCUCUCCUGUGCAUCCUAGCUGGUCUGUGCUUGUAGGUGUUUUUCUUUUUUUUUCUGGUUUGAGGGAUUAGUCUCCAUUCUGUCUGGGUUAGGGGAAGAAGUGACUAAUUGGAGAGCAAAUGGUUAGAGUGACGAAGUCAAGGGGCCCACUCAAGCUCAGCGAUGCUUGCAGGUGGAGAGAUGCAUUAGCAGCUCAUGGCCUAGUAGCUAUUUGUAUCUUUUCUCCAUCCCCCACCCCCCUGCUCUGUUAUGGAAGACAUUCAGAUUGUGAUUUGCACUGUUGUAAUAUCACUUGACAGAUUAAAAGUGGUUUGUAGUUACUAAUCCUUGAACACCUCCGUGAAGUAUUAUCCCUGUUCCUCCUGUGGAAGCCUCAGAGGAAUGGCACCGGGGAAACCAUGCAAUUGACAGACCUGGGAACUAGAAAAAGACAACAAUGUGGCCUUCAUCUCAGAGACCUAAAGGACAGGGAAAUAAAGUUUCAGUACAAAACGGUUCGAUUCAUCAAAAGGAUGCAGUAAAUGAUGAUGAUUUUGAGCCAUAUCUAAGUAGCCAGACAAAUCAGAGUAACAGCUAUCCACCAAUGUCAGACCCAUACAUGCCUAGUUAUUAUGCUCCAUCCAUUGGAUUUCCAUACUCUCUAGGUGAAGCAGCAUGGUCCACUGCAGGAGACCCUCCAAUGCCGUAUUUGACAACCUAUGGACAGAUGAGCAAUGGUGAACACCAUUACAUACCUGAUGGUGUGUUUAGUCAACCUGGGGCAUUAGGAAAUACCCCUCCAUUCCUUGGUCAGCAUGGAUUUAAUUUUUUUCCGGGGAAUGCAGAUUUCUCUACAUGGGGGACAAGUGGAUCUCAGGGACAAUCAACACAAAGCUCUGCUUAUAGCAGCAGCUAUGGCUACCCUCCCAGCUCUCUUGGUAGAGCCAUAGCAGAUGGACAGGCUGGAUUUGGCAAUGAUACUUUGAGCAAGGUGCCUGGGAUUAACAGCAUUGAGCAAGGCAUGACUGGACUGAAAAUUGGUGGGGAUAUGACAGCUGCUGUGACAAAAACUGUAGGUUCAGCUCUGAGCAGUACAGGUAUGACCAGCAUUGCAGCAAAUAGCGUGCCCCCAGUUAGCAGUUCAGCACCUAAACCAACCUCAUGGGCUGCCAUUGCUAGGAAGCCUGCUAAACCUCAGCCGAAACUCAAGCCUAAAGGUAAUGUGGGAAUUGGAGGCCCUGCUGUGCCACCCCCACCUAUAAAACACAACAUGAAUAUUGGAACUUGGGAUGACAAGGGGUCAGUGGUGAAAGCACCCCCUACCCAACCAGUACUGCCUCCUCAGACUAUUAUCCAGCAGCCUCAGCCAUUAAUUCAACCACCACCAUUGGUGCAAAGCCAACUGCCUCAACAGCAGCCUCAGCCACAGCAACCACAGCAGCAACAAGGACCUCAGCAGCAGGCCCAGCCUCAUCAGUUGCAGCAGCAACAGCUGCAGAACCGCUGGGUGGCUCCUCGUAAUAGGGGUGUGGGCUUCAGCCAGAACAAUGGAGCUGGCAGUGAGAACUUUGGUUUAGGUGUUGUACCUGUCAGCUCUUCACCUUCUGGUGUAGAGGUGCAUCCAGUGCUGGAGAAACUAAAGGCCAUAAACAACUAUAAUCCCAAAGACUUCGAUUGGAAUCUGAAGAAUGGACGUGUGUUUAUAAUCAAAAGCUAUUCAGAGGAUGAUAUACACCGCUCCAUUAAGUACUCUAUCUGGUGUAGUACUGAACAUGGUAAUAAACGUUUGGAUGCUGCUUACCGUUCCCUGAAUGGAAAAGGUCCACUCUAUUUACUCUUCAGUGUGAAUGGUAGUGGACAUUUUUGUGGAGUGGCUGAGAUGAAGUCUGUUGUGGACUACAAUGCAUAUGCUGGAGUCUGGUCUCAGGAUAAGUGGAAGGGGAAGUUUGAUGUUAAGUGGAUCUUUGUCAAAGACGUUCCUAAUAACCAGCUGCGGCACAUUCGUUUGGAAAACAAUGACAACAAACCAGUUACCAAUUCGAGGGACACUCAAGAGGUACCCCUAGAAAAAGCUAAGCAAGUGCUUAAAAUAAUUGCUACUUUCAAGCAUACCACCUCAAUCUUUGAUGACUUUGCACAUUAUGAAAAGCGUCAAGAGGAGGAGGAAGCCAUGCGUAGGGGAAAGUUCAUGGAUCAAAUUCAGUGAGCAGUCUCUCGUUUCCAGAAGACCCACCCACUUUGUUCCCUAUCUUGGCAGCAGAAGACAGGAUCUGCUGGAUCUCCCUCUCAAAACUAGUCAAAGUAUCCUUUUAACCUCUGAGUCUUCUCUCCUAAAUUCUUUAAUGGCUGAAUACUUAAACUGAUGUGGCUUGGAAUCAGCAAAAGGCAGCCAAAUACUAGACUUAAACAUGUAUGUUUUUCUAAGUUAAAAAUCAGCUUUGUAUCUUUUCUUUGUUUAUGGUGUUUAACAUUGUGCAUUUCACUCUCUAGCCUGGUUAGUUCAUUUUGUGGUUGGCAAGCACUAGAUUCUUGUCUGCACUAAGGGCUUUUCUUGUCACAUUUACUAAUGGUUAAGGAUGUAUAGAGGGUAUUGACUGGCACAGCGUGCUAGUAAAAGCUCCCACUACAGGCACUGAUACACCAGCAAAACUGCCUUUGGCCAUGAAGCUAUUGCUGGGAUUGAUGAUGGGCAUUUUUAGUCUAAGUUUCUUUCAUUUUCAGAGAAUUCUGCUUAUAGUGUACCAGUAUAUAGCUGUACUGGUAUCAUCUUCCAAGUGUAGAUCUGACCUCAACCUAUUGAGCUUACUUGCGUUCCUAAUGCUGCAUGUGGGUGAAGGUUCAAAUGACAAAAAACCCCCAAACCUCUCCCCUGCCUUUUGCAAUUCCCAUUAAUAGAUUUUUGCAGAUCCAUACCAAACACUUAUUUUCAGCCUAAAGUAAUAAUAUUUUCUUUUUAGAUUGCAAUGGAUUUUUGUUAAAAUACUGCCUUAGAUAUUUUUCCUAGAAAUUACCCCUUUGACUGUUUACACUCUCCUCUCUUUCUACCAAAAUGUCAUAUUGUGAUUAUUUCAGUCUCAGAUAGAAAUCUGUUUUAAACUGAACCACAUGCUCAUUUUUACUCCUUAAAAUUUUGGAAAAAUAGGGGAAGCUAAAAUAAUAUUUUGGCUGAGCAACAAAGUCUUUAUUUUGAGGAAAAAAUCUAUCAGAACCUUCUUUUUGAGGGGGUGGGGGCUGCUAACUGUGAAUUUAGAGAGAAGUGAAAUUGCAAGGAAAUAUGUCGUCAGCCUGGAAGAGUUCAGUACAAAUUGCUAUAUUGUGGGUUCCACAUGUUUGUGUAUUCUAGAUUGAUGUGCACGUUUCCAAAGUCUGAGUUCUUCAGGUUCAUCCCCUUAAUUUUAUUUUGUUAGUAUGUGUAGCAAAUUCUGUUUGCAUGCAGGAAAUCUGCUUACCAUGUGGUCUAUAGCUAGCAGUUAUCAUUAACCAGCUGUUGCAUUAUCAUGUAAUUCUAAUUCAAAUGCUAAUUACUCUCCAUGUGCUGUCCAUAAACUCUACCCAGAGCCCAGUAGCUUCACUGCUUGUGAUAAAUUCUUCAGCGAAACAGACUGUAUUAUCCUUUGGCAGAGAACUUGAAUUGAUGGAAGCAGUUUACUAUUCUGGAGCAUUAAGGAGAGAUUUGGCAAAGAUUCGGCUAUUCUGAAUUUGAAGAGUACAGCAAAGAUUGUACAUGAAUGGAAACUGGGAGAGAAUCCAGACUUUGCACUGGAAAAUCUUUCUGUGUGAAGAUGGUUGGUUCCAGUGGUGGGAAGCUGCUUGGAUAAAGGAGAGAAAUAGAAACAAACAAUAACUGUACGGAGAUGUCCUGCUAGAAUUACAACACUAAUGAUGUAGACUCUGGAAAUGCCUAAUAUGUCUAAGAAGACGUUAUUAAAGCUUUUUUUCUGCUUAAGGUGACAUCUUUGAACACUUUAACACAAAAUUGACUCUUCUUGUAAUGGUUCUCAUCAGUGCAUCUGCCCUUAUACUCUCUCACCAAACACACUUGAGAACUGUAACUUCGUCAAGCACUUUCUGUCCUGAAGCUUUUACCAGUAUCUGCUGUCUUUUGUAUUUAUGCAUCCUAGCUAAGGCACAGGAUACGGAAUGAAUGCAAGGAUUCAUUAACUCUUUGAAUUUGUUAAAUACUAACAAUUAACCAUUAGAAGUGGUUCAAUGAUGUGAGAUUCACAUUGCUUCAACUUAUUUUUUCUUUGUUGUAGGUUUUUCUUUUUUUUUUUUUAUUGUCAGUUUUUAGCUAUUCAACUGAUUAAAAGCAAAAUCAUGCCAUAUUUAGUCCUGGAGUAAAACUCAAGUCUAAAUGUUCAUGUGAAAAUUAUUGUAGUAAACUUUUAAUAUGGCAAAGCAACUUUAAGCUGCAGUUUAGCCAAAUGAAACGUAACAUGAAAUUAUAUUAGAAUGACAUUUCCCUUGUUUCAAACUGUUUGGUGUAAGAGAAUAUUAAUAUGCAGCUUGGUGGAAAACACCAGCUAAUGCACAUUUCUUUAUUUUUUCUGUAACAUGUAUACCGAAAAAAGUGCAUUUGUCUGAGGAACUGUUUGUUUGCUACCACUCAAUGAAUCUCAGUUUUGAGUAAAUGUACCUCAGUCUAAAUCAGACUUUUUAUGACCUUUAUAACUACAUUUAAAAUAAUCUUUAAUUCCUAUUUCUGGGUGUUUGCAAGCCUGACAGAUUGCUAUCAUGGAAGUGAAAAUUUACUCCUCUAGGUGAUUCACUAGCUAAAUAAACCUAAUUCUUGUUUAGCAAGCAUAUACUCUGUUUCUCAACUUUUUUCCCCCCUCCUGUUAUAUUAUUUGGGCAUUCUCUGUAUUCGACAUUAGUUCUGGAAAAAUACUUUGAUCCAUGGAUUCAUUUUGUGUUCACCACUGUUUACAUGUUCUUGGCUAAAGCUAUAUUAUUGUGUGUUUAGGAUACCUAUUAAUCUGGAUACUCUUAUAGUAAUUUUUAAUUCUUUUGAAAAUAUCUUUUUUGAUUCUAUAGCAAGAUGAAUUCUGUCUUCUGGAAGAGAAUGUUCAAAAAUGCCAAGCAGCUGUAUUAACUGAAUAAAAUACUGAACAGCCUGUACGGACUCCAAGGAUAGCUUUCUCUUUUUAGAACAGCAAUGUAGAAGGCAGAUAUGUUAAAGCUUAAAAUAGCAAUACUGCAUAUUAUUUGAAUGUGUGUGGUGUCUCUUACUAACCAACACAAAUGUUUACAUUGUGUUUGAAAUCUUUGAUUUACAACAGUUUCUAAUCACCUACAUUGUGAAAUUUAAGGACAGGCAUUGCUUUUUUUUGUAUAAGCUAUUUUACAGUAUUGUGCUACUUUCUUCCUCCUGCCCCCACAUUAUAUAUCGAUAUAGAUAUAUAUCGAUAUAGAUAUAGAUAUAUAUCGAUAUAGAUAGCAUUUAAGACUUCUGACAAUUCUUUGGUAAGAAUGAGCGUAUUGAAACAAUCAGAUAGUUACGCAUAGUUUAGCUUAUCCCAGCUUUCUAAAAGUUUGAAAGGUAAGAGGCACCCAGCAAUGUAGAGAAGGCAGCAUUUGGGGGAGAUGAGUGUAGAUGGGGGAGAUGCUGAAGGCAGCAGGUGGAGAACAGGAACAGGGAGAUGGUUAAAGAAAAAAAGCUGAGCAUGUGGAAUGAAAUAAUGCCAAGCGAUUGGGCCAGAAGGAAGCUCUGGAAUCAUGGCAAGUCUUCCAGAAGCUGGGAUAGAACCUGGGAUUUGUGAGCCCACAGAUUCUUCAUACAGUAAAAGUAGCUUUAAAAACUCACUGACAGAUCUCAUCCCUCCCCACCCCCGCAACCUCCCCACCCCUCCGGCUGGUUGGUAGAGGAUAAAUAACUGAUCGUUGCUAUUAGUGUAUCGUUGUAAUGCCACCGCAUUAGUGCAUGUGGUAAAGAUUGGAGUAGUGACUCCAAAGGGUGCAGUUACCACGUACUUCCACAUGGUAACAUUUCCUUGUUUUCCAUUUGUUUUUUAAAAAUCUGAAGUUAUGUGGAAACCUUCACAACACUAGCAUUCUGACAAUGAAGCCAGGUAUUCACAAAUUACAAAAUUUGGUCCAUUGAUAGUUCUUAGUUACUUGAUCCACAUGUUUUGUUUUGUUUUUUCCUAUUGGCUUCUUUGCCUGAUUCAUUGCAGUACGUGGGCUUUGCUCAGGGAAUGAAUGAGACUUGUGGAAGAGGCUACUGCAUCAUUUGUUGUAGAAAUUGGAAGGUACAGAGGAAAGAAAACCAGAGAUUGCAAGAACAGAGAAUCAUGAGGCUUAAGGCACUUGUCACAGACUUCCUAUUUCACACUGGCUUUGCCUUUUGAAUCUAAAACUUAAGUGUGAUCAUUAAUAAUGUAUUUGUCACUUUCUGGGUGUCCAGCUGAAGACAUUUGGGGCCUGAUAUGCAUUAAUAUUGAAAACUCUCACAUAAAACUAAAAUCAGCAGCACUGUUUAAGCAUAAUAAAUUCUGUAAAAUAUCAGACCCUGAGUGUGUCCAACUGAGCAGAAAACCAGUGGCCACUUGUUACUUUUAGCCUUCAUCUUUCUGUGCCUGAGCCUAUCCCUCUGUGUAUUUAAAGAAAAAGGAAUAAAUGCUGCCUUAUUUUAAGAGUGCUGUGUUUAGAGUUUGCAAAGUAAUUAUGUUAUAGUGAUGAGAGUUGCAGAAACAUCCACAAUGAACAUACAAAUUCAGUAUUCAGUUUAAGGUUUGGAAGGUGUAUAGUAAAUAAGGUACAGUGCUAUGUGUUAAGAGUUUAAAGAAAUAUUAAAUGGCUACCAGUUGGUGAGUAUUCUUCAUUCUGUACAUUGAAUGAGGCAGGAGUCCAAUUGAGAAUACAGUAAGUGAUCAUGUACCUAAAGGGUGCAGCAUAAUGCAUGCAUAAGGAAUAAAUUAUAGUAGAGAAACUGUCAUAUUUUAAGUGUUCUGAAAUUUAAAAAUUGGCUGUUUUUGUAUGUGCUGAGUCUGGUUGAUCUUUCCCAGCAAAAGUUGGGUUGAAUAAGCGCUGCAUUGUAAAUCCAAUAAGCAGUGGCCUUAUUUAUUUAUAUAUAUUUUUUCCUAUCUAAACUAGCUUUCAAAAUUGCUAGUAUUUUUCUAGCAAGAAAGAUGUUAAAAUAGUUCUCCAGAUGUUUCUAACAGUAAGAAAGCCUAGUAUGGAUCUGGCCUUUUGUAAUUUGUUGCUGCAUUAACUUUUAAAUGGAUACUUUGAGGCAUUCAAAUACAAAAUGCUAUUCAUGGGGGAAUGGGUCUUGCACAUUUUGGAAAAAUAAUAUAAGCCAUUUGAUUAUUUCAACUCAUUUUACUGCCAUUUUCAUUUUAAGGAAAUAGGAGACACCUGUUUUCAAUAAUGUGUGUAUUGCCAUGUAAAGAUCAUUAUCUAAUUUUCUGAUAAACUUAAAAGAAAAAAUUAAGAUAGAAUGAUUCAUUUAAGUUCAUUCAUAGGAAAACAUGGGUUCUUGAAUUUUGUUUGUUCCUUCAUAUGAAUUAGAAUGCAGUUAAUUAGGUGAGAACUUCUGUUUGGCAUGGAAAUUCACCAUUUGGUCCUUUUUAAUCAUUCUGAGGGUUUCAAUAAAGAGAACCUGUUCACA